rnacentral:ribozyme from 12 species
GCGGCCGGAUGCCGUCUAGGGAGGAGCGCAGAAGAAGGUCCAUCCUCCAAGAGGGAGAUGGGCUCUGUGAGCGGGUCGGCUGAGGGGUCU